UCCCCGUCGCGCCCUUGACCUGCUCCGCUCUUCUGAGGGCCACACGUGCCCACAGGAAACCAACAUACACGGUACACACGACUCAACCUCGAGCGCCCUCCCGGCCACUGCGGACACACCCAUACGAUGCUCGGCGACCCCUGUGCCCCCCAAGAAGUCCCCCGCUCCUCAGCGCCUCAACCAAAGUCACUCCCUCCUCCCCAUCCCUCCCCACAAAGGCUGUGUUCACACAGAUCCCUCGAGAUGCCGCCUCGUGGACACGGACCUCCCUGUGGUUCUCAUGAAGACUGCGUGGAAGCCUUCAGCACCCCGGGGUGCCUCAGGCCAGGACCCCGCCCCACUCUGGGCACUCUAAUUGCUCUCCUCUAGCCUGCAGGAGUUCCAGGUUGGGGAGUUGGGGAAUCAGGAGUGGCCUCCCCAGGGCAGAGACCAGUAAAGCCUUGCUACGCCCCACCCCCCCAGCUGCCCCACCCCAGGUCUCUGGGAUGGUAAGAGCAGGUGGGUCCCCUAAGCCCGUGUGGCUGGUGAAGAGCAAACUCCGUGAAGGGAGCGCCCGCACACUUCACAGCACUUUCAUUUUCGGUGCUUGCUCUCAGGCUAGUCUCCCUCUGCGGGGUCAGAAUUCUUUCCAUUUCCCAGCUGAGGAAACAGGUUGAAACUGAGGCUCAGAGGGUGAAAUAAGUUGUCCAAUGUCAUACAGUCAACAAAUGGCAAAGCUGGGCCUAACCCAGGCCUCCCAAGCACAUAGCACAAACUCCCGCACCCCCGGCUUCCGGGGUUCCCACAGGGCUCACCCGCUUCUCGUCCCCUCCAUCAGACAGCAAGACAGCAAUGCUGCCCUCAUCCCACCUCGGGCCUCUCCCGAAGCUUUGCCUGUGCUGAGCAAGUCCAGGUGUCAGCGGAGCCCCAGCCCCAUCCAUGUUUUCCCAUAAAUGCUUCCUGUGUGAAUCACUGUGGGCAGAGGAGGGGCUGAUCCUAGAACUUCAGCAUGAGGAGGGUGCUCAGAGGGGCCCCCCCCGCACCCACACUGUAUGGUACAAACUGUGGCCCAGGGACCAAUGAGUCACCUAUCCCAGAGUGCAUGCCCCUUACACUCCACCCUUGGUGGCGGAACCAAGCACCUGCCCCCUGAGAAAGAGGUUCCGCACCAUGGGGUGAGGGUGGGACACAGCUGCCCGCCAGUUAACUCAGUCUGACUCAGUGCGGGGUGGCAUUAUCACGCCCACUCAGAGGCAGGAACCUGCACCACAGCAUGAAGGAGGCAGCGGAUGGGGUCGCCAAGGCCCAGCGGAGGAGCCAAGGACCCAGGAGAGUCCCAGCUAAGGGAUGGUGACGCACCGGCCCCAUGACGGGGUGAGGUGGGACGAGACAAUUCACGCAGUCAUGGGGAGCACGCCGAAGGCUAGUAACUGCUGGCUAUUGUGGUCACACAGCAGACAGAUUGCUGAGUUGGGGCUGCCGACAUCAGGUGAGCCCAUGUCACGCUCGGGGACUCCAGCAUUGACUGGGAUUAAGCGUGAGGAAAACCCAAACUGGGUGGGUUGCCGCAUCCACCCUUCAUGUCCAUAGCAAUUCUACAGCUCCUCCCCAUCAUCCCAGUUUACAGGCGAGCCAGCUGGGGACCUGAAAGGUGAAGUGACAGGUCCAAGGUCACAUGGCCGGGCCAGGAUUCAAACCCAGGCCGACGGGCUUCAGCGUCGGCGCCCGUGACAACCUCCCACACUAAUGAGGACGGUGUGUGUCUGCCAGGGACCCAGCACAGAGCAGGCCCCGAAUAAACAGCGGCUGCCAUUUCUCUUCUUUAAUCAACAUCGUGGACAGAGGCAACACUGGCAGGGAGGUGUAGGGCGGGGAGAGCUAGGCUACCACCACCCAGGUGCCCGUCCCGUCCAGCCCCCCGUUCAGAGAAUGACCCCGCCUGCCCGGUCCAGCACCACACACUGAGCUGGACACAGAGAAACAAUCUGCCUGCUGGGCCGAGUCCUGGGCUGUUCGGACGGCCCCGCAAAAGACGUGUUGAAGUCCUCACCCCCCAGACCUGUGAAUGUGAUCUCAUUCCAACACAGGAUCUUUGCAGAUGUCGUCAAGUUGAGAUGAGACCACACCUAAAUUCAAUGACCGAUGCCUUCACAGGAAAGCCGCAUGGACAUACAGAGAGAGAGGCAUGAAGGGAAGGCCGGCCGUGCUGUGCCGAGAGGGGCAGAGAUGGGGGGGACGCAGCCACAAGCCAAGGAUCGCCAGCAGUCGCCGGAAGCUGGAAGAGACAGGAAGGAUUCCUGGCCCUGCUGACAUCUUGAUUUGAGACUUCCAGCCCCCAGAACCACGAGGAACAAAUUUCUGCUGCGAGCCACCCAGUUCGCAGCCCGAAUCCCCGGGCACGUCAUCCCUCCUCAAACAGGGCCGGCUCUCCCCAGGCUUGGGCUUUGACCCACACGUCCAGAUGGGGCAAGGUCCAGCCUCAGUGGCCUGCAAACUGGACACACCCUCGUUCCCCUGCUCCAGCCUUCUCCAAUAGGAACGCAUGGACCCCGGGAGAUGGGGAGGGAGCAGGCGACUUCUGCUGAAGGCAUGGCAGCCCUGGCCUCUGAGCUGAGCGUGCAGCGCUGCGCCCACAGGGCCCGGGGCUGCAAAUGCAGGUCCUGCCCUGAACAUCGGCAGCAGCCCUGUGAGGCAGGCCCCACGGUCACCCCCACUGCACAGACAUGUAGACUGAGGCCACACGGGGCAGAGCUGGACAGACUCGGCUUGACUUCCAUCCAGCUUUGUAUUCUCCACAAGGCACCUUCUUGGCCAGCAGCCUUUUCUUAGAAGAAUCCUUGGAAGGAAGGACUACUUACUACUCCAGAUAUCAGAACAUACUCGGAUAAGGAAAAGCCCCAGGAGGGGAGCCCGAGGUAACGGGGAGGGCUUGGCGGGGACCCGGGGCCUAAGGAAGUGCUUCUUCACUCACUCACCACCUCACUACUCUCCCGAGUGGCCUGCGAGGCAGGGAUUCCUCAUCCGGCCAGACUCAGAGCCAGCCCGGUAAGGACACGGAGGUAUGACAACUCGGCCAGCUUUGUUGACUUUAUAAAUAUUGCCCCAGUUGCCCAGUGGGGAGGUGAUGUCAGGUCAUUGCUCAUGGUGAAAGGUGCCCACCCAGGGGGGCGUUCCACUCGCCCCCAGCCCCCCCCACCCCACUUCUGCAGAAACGCGCUUUGGAGCCCACGAAGGGAGGGUCUGAAGGAAGGAAAAACUACUGCUGAGGUUCUCUAGACAGGAAGGGGGGCCCCUGUCUGCACGGGGCAUGACGGGACCCCUAGCGAGAACCUAUCCCAGCUGGCCUGGCCCACAUGGCCCCACCAAGGCGGAUGCUGAGGUCCUAGAUCCUCAUGGCACAGGCUGGUGAGGGGCAGGGCGAGUGGAUGCUGGGGUCCCAUUCCAGGUGGGCUGUGGACUGAGUGCCUUCACCUGGAGGAGUCUGGGGCUUCGCCACCCGAAGCCCGGGCUGCUGCUGCUGCUCUGUCGUCCUGUCCUCCCAGCCCAGCGGGGCCAGCAAGCACGCGUCCUACCCCUCCACUGCUGCCCCCUCCCCAGACGGGCCUCCCAGCCUGAGCCCGCAGCAGGCUGGACUGCACCUUGCUGCCAGCAGUCACUCGGCCCCCCGCGUGGGACCCGCACCGCCUGCUCCGAAGCUUCAGGCGAGGCCCCCUCUGCCUGCAGGACGAACUCCCAGCUUGCGAGCCGAGUGUCCAAGACCCUCUGCAGUCUGGGCACAGACUUCCGUUCCUUCCGCUUCUGCUUCGUCUCCCACUCAGCCCCUCCGGGCCCCUUCCUUCCCCUCCCCCACGAGCAGAAGACAAAGCUGCGGCUUGUUCUCUAGACUCGCAGCCUGCUCCCCACUCCGGGCCUCUACCCAGGCUCUGCCCUCCGCCCCAGCCACCUUCCUCCCCUCCCUCCAACCGCAAGAGGCGGGAGGGUCGUGAUCAGGGCCUGGGCCGUGGAGCAGACCGCCAGGGUCGGACUGUGGCUUCCACAGUUCGGAGCUGACCACUUAGGCUGCUGAACUGUUUAACUGUGCCUCAGUUUCCUCAUCUGCAAAAUGAAAAUAUGGAGGAGGAAGAAACUGCCCUCUACCCUCCCGGUUCCUGUCCCUGGUCUAAUCGUCAAAUAGCCAUGAGACAGAGAAGCAAGAGAAAAUAACCCGGGUUCUACUCACACGCGUAUGGGAACCUCGCGUAGAGGAGGGACCCCGCGGGCACCAGAGGUUCAGAGACAGAGAAGGAACACGGCGUAUAAGACGCCUGAGCUGGGGAUGAAGCGAGGCGCCUGGGGGCUUUAGAGGGUCAUCACAGGAGAAAAACACUCAUUCAGUAAUUCGUAGUUUGCCCUGCCAUACAGGUGGGUCAAAAAAAAGGUAACCUCUGAUAAUCUCUUGUUAUGAGCGAGACUUCAAAUUCUUCUAGGUAGGUAGGGGGGAAGGGCACAUCCGAGGCACGUCUUGGGGUGACUCGUUCUGAACCCCCACAGUCAUGACGCUUUCCCGUCUACUGACCCCAAGGCUGUACAUGUGUUCAUGGGUAUGAAAUGCUGAGAAGGGGCCUGGCACGUGCGCGGCCAUUGUCACCAGCUGGCCCCACUCGGCGCCGGGCUUCCCGGGGGUCCCAGGCCCCCAUCCCCGCGCUGCGGUGCUCCCUCCUCUUGACAGCAACUCGGCCGACAAUCCCAGGUCAUCCUCCAUCUGCCUUACGUUAGGAUGUCAGGGCUGGGCCCGCCUCCCCCAUCAGACUGGGUGCUCCCGCCCCAGGGACCGUGACAACGACAAGCAUCUUGACCUAACUCUCUUCGAGCUCCCCGAAGUCCCCUGCUGGAGGAGGCCUGACCUUGGGCUUCCUCCUUCCUCCUCGUAGAAUCCAGAUUGAGCAAGAAUCUUGCUGGAUCAGUCUAGACAAACUCCCCACCCCUGGUCUCCUAUCCCCUGGCCCGCCUACAGCGAGAAUUCUGUAGCAUUGAUCUCGUGAGACUCCCCCAAGCCCGGACGUUUCCUCUUAGUACUUUCCUACCCACGAGCCCUGCUGCCCCUUGGCCGUGACUCCCCAUGGUCCUUGUUGGAGUCGAGUCCAGUCUCCGUCCCGCUCUGAACGACCUCCUUCAUGAUCCAGAAAUACGAGAGGCUCCUUUGGCCACAAGACCCGAUUUCACUUGCGGUGAGGUCAUUUAGAGACUCGGUCCACUCUACUUGGUGUAGAUUGUGCCAGAACUGUCUACCAGCCUGAUUAACCAGAUGUCAGGUAGGUGUGACAGACCGCAUUAUCUUACAAAGAUCCAACAGGAAUUCCCAAGUCACGCCUGGCCUUGAGGGACAGGGAAGGAGGAUCCCGCUGUGACGGGGAGGGGGGAUCCACUCAGAUGGGAAGAGGAGUCACUGAGCUGGCAGGUGGCCGAGCUGGAUUCCCCUGGACUUCCAGAUGGCCUGCAGUUUAGCAGGGGAACUAGAGAUAGGAACGUAGCAGGCUCUGCAGGUGCUGCUGGCCAAGGAGCCGUCAUCCACGGGGAGAGUCAUGAUUAGUUUGCACUGACCACUUAGAGGCGGACGAUUUAGAGAACUGCACGGGGGAAAAGCUCCUUCCGACAUAUUUUCUAGAAACGCCAGGAAGAAACAUUACAAAGAUCUUCCAAAAGCAUAACUGAGCUUGUAAGGAAGUGAGGAAAGUCACCAGGGGCCAGACUUACUAUUAAUAUUAUUACUAAGAUAAUGUUAUCACUAUAGUUAUAACAGAGGUAAUGUUGAUUGUAUGAAGGCCAGUAUAAUGCCUGAAAUGUGCAAUAAUACAGACAGAGUGACAUUCUCAGUGCCUUAAUAUACCAGGCCCUCUGUCCCUUGCAGCUGUGGCUCUGUAAUCUAACUGACAGCAACUUCGCAGGGCGAUCCGAUCACACAUUCCCAACUGGGCAGGUCAUGGGUAGUCUCGGAACGGUUUUCUUUGCCUUAAGCAAGCCCUGUCCAUCGUUUCUGCAUCUAAGUUAACAUACCUUUGAAACGCCUCUUUUCUCGACCCCUAGACGACUCGACCACUCUCAAGAGAGCACACACUCUUCUAAACUAUCCUGGACCUGACUGUGUCCCACCUUCUUGUCAUCUUCCUUGCGUCCCCUCCUUGAUUCCAAAUGUAUCAAAGAAACUGUAAAUCCAUCCCUCUCGGGAGCAUGAGACCUUGCUCCCCAGCACAGUCGUCAGUGUAACUCGAAUAAACUCUUACAAAUGUUCUCGA